UUGCACAUACAGUAGCUGUUUUCUUCUCUUACUACUGGAUAUAGUGGCUACGUUAAUGGAGUAGAUUAAAAUUGUCAUGAUGUGAAGAGAGACGACUUUUCAGUGUUCUCUCUUUUUACAAAAUGGCUGGACACGCCAUC